rnacentral:tRNA from 1 species
GGAGAGGUGGCCGAGUGGCCGAAGGCGCCUGACUCGAAAUCAGGUAUACGGCAACGUAUCGUGGGUUCGAAUCCCACCCUCUCCGCCA